GCCCAUCUCCCGGCGGCCUGGCCGCCGGUAGAUACUUUCGUCGGCCUGGCCGCCGGAAUCUUACACUUGUCCGCCUGCAUAAUUUUCCCUCGUAAAUGAGAGAAAAUUUCUGGCGGCUAGGCCGACGGAAUAUUUUUUUGUAAAAAAUUCCAGCGGCCUGGCCGCCAGCUCCAAUUCAACAACGGUCGGGAGAAAAAUUCCCGGCGGCCUGGCCGCUGGAUACUAAAACCCUCAACGGUCGGGAGAAAAAUUCCCGGCGGCCUGGCCGCUGGAUACUUUUUCCCGCUUGUUUUUUUCAGUAGCCAGCGGCCUGGCCGCCAGAAAUUUUUGGAAAACCCUAAAUUUACAACUUGCGCCGUCGUGGUCCCCCGUACAGUCAAACUAAACUUUAGUGUUUCCCGGCGGCCUGGCCGCCGGAAAUUUUUUAUAUAAGAAAAAAAUUCCAGAAUCGUUUCAUUUUAUUUCCUCCCAAAAUCCUCUUCACUUCUCCCACUCCACUCUAACUAUCCCCAAAUCUCUCCGGCGAUUUUUCAUCAUCCAUCUCCGGUGAUCUUCGAANN
rnacentral:lncRNA from 1 species